CCUACGGGUGGCAGCAGUCGAGAAUCAUUCACAAUGGGGGAAACCCUGAUGGAGCGACGCCGCGUGGGGGAAUGAAGUUCUUCGGAUUGUAAACCCCUGUCAUGUGGGAGCAAAUUAAAAAGAUAGUACCACAAGAGGAAGAGACGGCUAACUCUGUGCCAGCAGCCGCGGUAAUACAGAGGUCUCAAGCGUUGGUCAGAAUCACUGGGCGUAAAGCGUGCGUAGGCUGUUUCGUAAGUCGUGUGUGAAAGGCCCGGGCUCAACCCGCGGACGGCACCGGAUACUGGGAGACUAGAGUUAGAGAGGGGGAAGCGGAAUGCUCGGUGUAGCAGUGAAAUGCGUAGAUAUCGAGAAGAACACUCGUGGCGAAGGCGGGUUCCUGGACAUUAACUGACGCUGAGGCACGAAGGCCAGGGGAGCGAAAGGGAUUAGAUACCCCGGUAGUC
rnacentral:rRNA from 1 species